AUUACUGGGCGUAAGCGUGCGCAGACGGUUCGGAAAGAAAGAUGUGAAAUCCCAGAGCUUAACUUUGGAACUGCAUUUUUAACUACCGGGCUAGAGUGUGUCAGAGGGAGGUGGAAUUCCGCGUGUAGCAGUGAAAUGCGUAGAUAUGCGGAGGAACACCGAUGGCGAAGGCAGCCUCCUGGGAUAACACUGACGCUCAUGCACGAAAGCGUGGGGAGCAAACAGGAUUAGAUACCCUGGUAGUCCACGCCCUAAACGAUGUCAACUAGCUGUUGGGGCCUUCGGGCCUUGGUAGCGCAGCUAACGCGUGAAAGUUGACCGCCUGGGGGAGUACGGUCGCAAGAUUAAAACUCGAAGGAAUUGACGGGGACCCGCACAAGCGGUGUAUGAUGUGGAUUAAUUCGAUGCAACGCGAAAAACCUUACCUACCCUUGUCGUGUCUGGAAUGCCGAAGAGAUUUGGCAGUGCUGCGAGAGAACCGGAACACAGUGCUGCAUGGCUGUCGUUCAGCUCGUGUCGUGAGAUGUUGGGUUAAGUCCCGCAACGAGCGCAACCCUUGUCAUUAGUUGCUAGAAAGGGCACUCUAAUGAGACUUCCGGUGACAAACCGGAGAAGGUGGGGAUGACGUCAAGUCCUCAU
rnacentral:rRNA from 1 species